GCGAUCAUACCAAUGUAUUGCAUCGGAUCCCAUCAGAACUCCGAAGUUAAGCGUGCUUGAACGAGAGCAGUACUAGGAUGGGUGACCCCCUGGGAAGUCCUCGUGUUGCACCU
rnacentral:rRNA from 1 species